ensembl:lncRNA
CAAGGUUGAUAAUUUCGCUCCUGCUAAAGGAUAAUCCGUAAUGAAAGAGUUGCAGGUUUGUGCAGCAGAGGCUGGUUUCUGUCGUCUCCAUGGUGAUUUGACAUAGACAUUCACAUGUGGGAACUGUGAAGCCCAUGGGGCAUGGGGAAGGCAGAGAGGUGGGCAAACAGGAAGUGACAUGCUUGUGUGCGUGAGCUGUGCCUGUGUGGACUGACCCUAAUCACAGCGGACAGUUUGCACUUAUAUAAGCGGCCGAAAAACAUCCAGGAGGCCUGAAGACCAUCCUGGAACAACAUAUGUAACUUUGUAUCACCUCACAAAGCAUCCCGCAGUUAAAAUGCUGAUCUCAAAUCAGAUUUUUCCCUUUUCCUGGCACAAUCUCAGGCAUAUAAACAGAUUCUGGCUCAGCACUCCUACACAUCUGACUAUUCAAGGCAAAAAAGCAUGAAGAAUAAUGCUGAGGAUGAGAGAAGGUAAGCACAACCAGCGGCUUUAUCAGUGGUGAAAACGCACACACGCAAGCAAGCAGGAGGAUGAGGAUUUGCUGUGGUAUUUUCUGAACGCUUGGGUUAAUUCUUUUCAUUGGGAUAUAAGUGAGCAUGUGUUGGUGUUUGCUGCUGACGGUGGCUUUGCAUCGAUAGCAGAUCUGCCCGCUGGCUUUAGCGUUUUACACACGUCAUUUCAUAGCGGACAAACUAAAGUCACACACCUGAAGCUGGCCUGAAGUGUUAACAAUACAAUCUUAUAAACAGCAUCUUAGCACUGUUGUUAAUGCUCUCAUUCCUAAAUAAAGCUAGAUAAAUAUAUAAUUGGACUGAGAUG